GUAAUAUGAUGUUGAUAUAAAUGUCUAUUGUAUGAUUGCUGUCUUAAGUACUUUUGACGUGUUUGUAAAUUUGAGUCAAGCUCUAAAGUGCAAUCCUGAAUAAGGAUAAUGUCCGGUAAAUAACCCCGAGUAAAACAUGUCAUCUGGUACUCAGGGCGCAUGAUCACGCGACUGUGUGGGGUUUACAAUUGAACGUUAAUGAAUGUAAACACAGCGCUCGAGGAUUUUUGCUUGAUUUGGGGAAGGGCCUGGCAUUCAAUUUGCGAGAAAAAAUAUAGACAAAACUGUAAAAGAGGAAGAAAUUUUCCGAAAGCUCAAUAUCAUCGAAUCGGAGUGAAGGCUCAGGGUCUACUAGUACAGAAUCAUAUGAUUUUGUUCUUCCUUCACGUGGUCGGGGAAGAGGACGAGGAGCCAGUAGGCAGCUUGAACCCCGUCCAGGACCAAGUAAUGAAUCUGGUCGAGGGAGAUCCAGGGGAAAGCGGGGAAAAACCAAGGAAAAGAUGGCUUUCACUUUGUCAGCAAACGAUGUUACCAGGUUGCAGCUGACACACCAGCAUAAGAAGGAGCAAUGUGAUGCCUUGGUGGACCGACUCACUGGUGAAGAAGCCAAAGAUCUCCUUAAGGUCGUUCCUCGAACUUGUCGCUUCGGACAAACUGCAGGCUGGUCCGUUUUUUUAAAACAGGCAUUUAAAAAAUCCUUAAGUAGACCUUGACAUUGAGGAGCUAGCACAGGGGUGGCAUAAUUUCUUCACUGCACUAUUGAGAUGAACAUUUGAUCAAAGUUUGAUGAAAACAAGAGCACCGCAUAACGGGAGCCACGCUCGGCUGCGAAAGCUUGACAGAUUUUUUAAAAGAUUUUUUAGAGGUUACAGUGUCCUUGACCUUUGACCUAGUGAACCAAAUAUAGGUGUGGCGUGUAGAACUCAUCAAGGUGCAUGCACAUAUGAAGUUUCAAAGUUGUAGGUGGAAGCACGGUGAUGUUAGGGGCAAAGUUAUUUUUUAUAUUAGAGGUCACAGUGACCUUGACCUUUGACCUAGUGACCCAAAAAAUCGGUGUGGCGUGCAGAACUUAUCAAGGUGCAUGUACAUAUGAAGUGUCAAAAUUGUAGGUGGAAGCAUUAUAAUUUUAGAG